rnacentral:rRNA from 1 species
UACACACGUGCUACAAUGGUCGGUACAAAGGGUUGCCAAGCCGCGAGGUGGAGCUAAUCCCAUAAAACCGAUCGUAGUCCGGAUCGCAGUCUGCAACUCGACUGCGUGAAGUCGGAAUCGCUAGUAAUCGUGAAUCAGAAUGUCACGGUGGAAUAACGUUCCCGGGUCCCGUU